AGAGUUUGAUCCUGGCUCAGGAUGAACGCUAGCGGCAGGCUUAACACAUGCGAGUCGAGGGGCAGCGGGGAGGAAGCUUGCUUUCUCCGCCGGCGACCGGCGCACGGGUGAGUAACACGUAUGCAACCUGCCCCUGUCAGGGGGACAACCCGCCGAAAGGCGGGCUAAACCCGCGUACAUGCCACCGGGGCAUCCCGGAGGCAGGAAAGGCUUCGGCCGGACAGGGAUGGGCAUGCGGCGCAUUAGGCAGUAGGCGGGGUAACGGCCCACCUAACCGACGAUGCGUAGGGGUUCUGAGAGGAAGGUCCCCCACACUGGUACUGAGACACGGACCAGACUCCUACGGGAGGCAGCAGUGAGGAAUAUUGGUCAAUGGUCGGGAGACUGAACCAGCCAAGCCGCGUGAGGGAGGAAGGUACAGAGUAUCGUAAACCUCUUUUGUCAGGGAACAAAGGCGGGGACGUGUCCCCGGAUGAGUGUACCUGAAGAAAAAGCAUCGGCUAACUCCGUGCCAGCAGCCGCGGUAAUACGGAGGAUGCGAGCGUUAUCCGGAUUUAUUGGGUUUAAAGGGUGCGCAGGCGGUCUGUUAAGUCAGCGGUCAAAGCCCGGGGCUCAACCCCGGCCCGCCGUUGAAACUGGCAGUCUCGAGUUGGAGAGAAGUAUGCGGAAUGCGCGGUGUAGCGGUGAAAUGCAUAGAUAUCGCGCAGAACUCCGAUUGUGAAGGCAGCAUGCCGGCUCCACACUGACGCUGAGGCACGAAAGCGUGGGUAUCGAACAGGAUUAGAUACCCUGGUAGUCCACGCAGUAAACGAUGAAUGCUGGCUGUCCGGGGGGAUUGACCCCUGGGUGGCGAAGCGAAAGCGAUAAGCAUUCCACCUGGGGAGUACGCCGGCAACGGUGAAACUCAAAGGAAUUGACGGGGGCCCGCACAAGCGGAGGAACAUGUGGUUUAAUUCGAUGAUACGCGAGGAACCUUACCCGGGCUCAAACGGGGAGUGACUCAGGCAGAGACGCCUGUUUCCCACGGGACACUCCCCGAGGUGCUGCAUGGUUGUCGUCAGCUCGUGCCGUGAGGUGUCGGCUUAAGUGCCAUAACGAGCGCAACCCCCGCGUGCAGUUGCUAACAGAUAACGCUGAGGACUCUGCACGGACUGCCGGCGCAAGCCGCGAGGAAGGCGGGGAUGACGUCAAAUCAGCACGGCCCUUACGUCCGGGGCGACACACGUGUUACAAUGGGUGGUACAGCGGGAAGCCAGGCGGCGACGCCGAGCGGAACCCGAAAUCCACUCUCAGUUCGGAUCGGAGUCUGCAACCCGACUCCGUGAAGCUGGAUUCGCUAGUAAUCGCGCAUCAGCCAUGGCGCGGUGAAUACGUUCCCGGGCCUUGCACACACCGCCCGUCAAG
rnacentral:rRNA from 1 species